CCUACGGGAGGCAGCAGUGAGGAAUAUUGGUCAAUGGGCGAGAGCCUGAACCAGCCAAGUCGCGUGAGGGAGGACGGCCCUAUGGGUUGUAAACCUCUGUUGUCGGGGAGCAAAAGCCGGACGGGUCCGGCUGUGAGAGGACCCGAAGAAAAAGCAGCGGCAAACUCCGGGGCAGCAGCCGCGGUAAGACGGGGGAUGCGAGGGGUAUCCGGAGUUCUUGGGUUUAAGGGGGGCGCAGGCGGAUUUUUAAGUCAGCGGUAAAAUCGUGGGGCUCACCCCCCUCCCGCCGUUGAAACUGGGGAUCUAGAGUGUGCGAGAGGUAUGCGGAAUGCGUGGUGUAGCGGUGAAAUGCAUAGAUAUCACGCAGAACCCCGAUUGCGAAGGCAGCAUACCGGUGCACAACUGACGCUCAGGCACGAAAGCGUGGGUAUCGAACAGGAUUAGAUACCCUUGUAGUC
rnacentral:rRNA from 1 species